rnacentral:misc_RNA from 1 species
UUCCUCAUCUUCGAACUUCACAAACUGGAAAAUAAAUACACCAACAGAUUUGAUAAAUUACACAUGAAAACCAAUUGUCUGCCGAGAAAAGAAAGGCAAAAUUAUUUUUUUCCUAGAAAAAUAAAUUGCAAAAUAGAGUCCAAAACUAAUUAGAAUAUGACAAAACUAACAUUUUAACUAAGAACUCUACUGAAAUUAUAAUUAAAAUUAGCUAAACCGAGCAAAAUCAUUUAAUAAAAACAAUGCAAACGGCUCUGUUUGGAUGCCAAGA